rnacentral:rRNA from 1 species
UGGGGAAUAUUGGACAAUGGGGGCAACCCUGAUCCAGCAAUGCCGCGUGUGUGAAGAAGGCCUUCGGGUUGUAAAGCACUUUAGUUGGGGAAGAAGGCAUAUAGUUUAAGAGAUGAUAUGUUUGACGGUACCCAAAGAAUAAGCACCGGCUAACUCUGUGCCAGCAGCCGCGGUAAUACAGAGGGUGCGAGCGUUAAUCGGAAUUACUGGGCGUAAAGGGCGCGUAGGCGGAUUGUUAAGUGAGUAGUGAAAUACCCGGGCUUAACCUGGGGACUGCGACUUAAACUGAUGAUCUGGAGUAUGGCAGAGGGUAGAGGAAUUUCCGGUGUAGCGGUGAAAUGCGUAGAUAUCGGAAGGAACACCAGUGGCGAAGGCGGCUACCUGGACCAAUACUGACGCUGAGGCGCGAGAGCGUGGGGAGCAAACAGGAUUAGAUACCCCUGUAGUCC